CAUCAGAUGCCCAUUUCAUUUUCUCCCUUUAAUGGUGUUUUCAAUCCCUUUUGAAAGAGAAAGUCGGCUCAUUUGCCAGUCAAAGCUUCAGCCUUUGUUCGUUUGCGUCACCCUUUUUCUUUCAUUUUCCAGAAUCUUGUUUCUUUGUAAAUCACGAGACUUUCUUUGAUUUUAAGAAUAGUUUAUUCGUGCUGGAAGAAAUCAUGAAGAUUUCUGGAGUGCCCCUUUGAAUACGCAAUUGUUUGACGCUCUAUACAGUCCUGAUUCCACCCUUUCCUUCAUUGUUUUGUUUCCCUUUUACUUCGUUUACUGAGAAAACGUUGAACAUGGCGGAAAAUCCAAAGCUGGAUUUAACAUCUUCCAACGAGAUAUCCACACAAAAGAUAUCAGUUUCGGAUCAUAUUAACGGGUUCCAAUACGCAGCCGAUGAUAAAUCCGAUAGCUUUGUCGUCGACAUGGAAGGUUUCUCUCAUGGAGGAUCCAAUAAAGAAAUCAAUCAAAUUCAAGAUUUACAAAAAGUCUUUCUCGGAAAGGGUCUCAGAGAGGAGGGGACAAGAAGAUUAUUAUAACUUCAAACUGCAACUCCUCCCUCAAUGAUAAAGAUGCUUUUGUCGCCACCUCCCCCAUAGAAAAUAUGUGCUUUCUUGACGCUGUUUCUCUAGGAUGCAUGUUCUCAUGUUUUCUAGCAAAUUUUCGGUAAAUUGCCCGUUUGCCUAGUUUAUUCUGUAAGAUCUGGCCUGUUAUUGAACUGCAACUUCUCUGGCAGGGUCUAGCACUGCUGAAAAGCCUGCGACGGGCGCUGUAGCAUCAACCAAUCAGACCGCAAUCUGCAAGUUCAUCAUCAGAUCACCAUUACAACAGGCAAUAUCACCGCUGCAACUGAGAGCAGAUUCAGUCUACGGAGGAACAUUACCGACGGUGUUCUUCCCAGUGGCUACUCUAUCCCAAGAUGAUCUCUUUCUCUUUGCCACAUUGCAAGUUUCCAAAGCCCAUCAUGGACUAUAUCCUAUUUCAUCUGCAAGGGCAUAAACAUUUUAACGACUUUGAUAUAUCGAAAUGAAAGCUGUUUCGGUUUUUUUUUUCAACAGAUCCAGCAUUGGAACGAUUUUGCUAAUAUACUUCACAUUGUCGAUUAACAAGACGAACGGAGAUGGGAAUGCUUUUGACUAGUACGCAGCCGGGACUAUACGCCCAACUUACUGCUAUUUAGAAACACAUUACAACAUAAACAUACACAUGGGAGCUCAAUGCAGUGAGAAACGGAAACCGAAGGAAGGUUGAAGAAGAAACAAAUGGGGAGAAUGACGACAUGUACAUAACUCCACUGUGACAAAGAUAUAGAAUCUUUCCCUUUUUAAUAGAUAUGUAUUUAUGUAAGAGAUCAUGUAGCUUACAUACCUAUACUCUUGUUCAAGAACUACAUACCCUUCAAGUUG